UGUGUUCACUACUGUAAGUCGCUCUGGAUAAGAGUGUCUGCUAAAUUACUAAAA
rfam:Salmo salar isolate Sally breed double haploid chromosome ssa20, whole genome shotgun sequence.